rnacentral:lncRNA from 10 species
CUGUGACCCCAUAGGACUCAGCCUAUGAGGAACUGGGGGAGGGACCUGCGCACUAGGGGAUAGUUUGCUUGUUAAAACUGCGCUGGGUGUACCUGCUCAUCAAACACCCGAUCUUGCAAGACCAUUAUUAAAAGUCUCGCUUUUGCUGUUCUUGGAUCUCUGAGUCCAUUCUUUGCAUUUGGAUGGGCAAAGGUGCACACCUGAAAGAACUCUUCAGCUACCGGAUAUGAACAUGAAGGACUGCUGGUACCCACACUCAGUCAAUGACUCACAGGAGCCUUGUUACUUUGGCAAGAAUUCUAUGUUCAUUUAAUAAGUUUGCAGAGACGGACGGAAAUCUGCUUUAUUACUCUCAUCCCUCAGCCCGGAAAGCCAAAUCCUUUAUCAGUACAGCUGCUGCUUCAUUCCACAUGUCUGAAGACACCGCUGUCUCCUCAAUCAGCAGCUUUGGCAGAGAGUCAGGUUCUGGCAGGGGUGAUGUAGAAUGGAGAGAGGUAUUUGCUUACAGCGGGUGAAAAAUGUUUAAGAGAAUAAAAGGAAAACUUUAAACAGUGUCAAGUCCAAUAAAAGAGAGAGGACAUCGGGGGCCAUCCAGCUGCCCACAAUCUGCUCACAGGUAAAGAAAUGGAAAUUUGUCAUUAACAGAAGAUAAAAACAGAGGGUGGAAGGAGGAAAUUGAAGCACAUUCUUGGACAAGAAUAAAAUCAUUAAAAUGUUAACAAAAGGCAAAUAGCACUUUAACCUACCUUUGUCUGCAAUCCAUACUGCUCUGAGACACCUAACACUCAGGUUUGAAGAACUGCAAUCUCCAGUCUGCUGACAUGGGUAGAAUCUCGUUUGUCACCUGUAUAUGACAGCACCAAUGAAAUGGUGAUUUGGCAUUCUUGGCUUGUCAGUGUAUGAAAUACCAUGUAGCAAAACAAAACUAUGUUUCCAAAGGUAUGAGUUACAAGACAAUUUAUUAAACAUUUUUAAAUAGUUUAUGCUAUGUAGUUUCUAUAAAUAAAAAAGUAUCUGUAUUUAUUUGAUGAUAACAGUUGAGGCUUAUUUCAUUGUGUUUUUUUCCACAUUUUUUACUUUCUAGCUUUUAAUUUUUACUUUUUUUUAACAUUUUCUAAAUUUUCUACCAUAAGCAAGCAUUAAUUUUAUAAGUAGGAAGUUUAUUUUGUUAUUGAAACAACAGUGAAAUGUGAGAUAAAUGUUAAAAUCCAUUAACUCAAAAUAAAUGAAGAACAAUUAUUUUGGUGAAAUGAUAUAACUAGACUAUGUGGUCAAAUCAACAGUGAAUUACAACCUUGAAAGAAUGUGAUAUCGUGUCUUCUGCACAAAUAAAAUCUUGAUAGCAUAUGUGAAAGAAUUUAUAUAUGUGAACCCAUUUCCCAUUCUUGAUAUGAAAAAAAUUACAACUGCCCUAUUUUUAUUGCUUCUUCUUUGUAAUAAACAUAUGACUUCUUUGCAAUUGACUAAAUCAUGUAAAUUCACUGCAUGUUAGAAGAGAUUAAAUCAGAAUCAGUUCUGCCUUCAUUGCAUAAACUUCCAGUUACAUGAUGCCACAGAAAAAUUUCCAAUCAGUUGCAUAAAUUUGAAAAUAUAUUUUUUACACCAUAUAACCUCAACUUAGUACUAGCAAUCUGUUACAUGAGUUUCUAGUUUAUAUGGUGGCUUGAUUUGUCAAGAAAUACAAUCACAGGUUUUUGUUUUUCAUUUUUUGUUUUUUGUUUUGAGACAGAGUUUUGUUCUUGUCGUCCAGGCUGGAGGGCAAUGGCGCGAUCUCGGCUCACUGCAACCUCCUCCUUGUGUGUUCAAGCGAUUCUCCUGCCUCCGCUUCCUGAGUAGCUGGGAUUGCAGACGCCUGCCACCACGCCCAGCUAAUGUUUGUAUUUUUAGUAGAGACGGGGUUUCACCAUGUUGACCAGGCUGGUCUCAAACUCCUGACCUCAGAUGAUCCACCUGCCUGGGCCUCCCAAAGUGCUAAGAUUACAGGUGUGAGCCACUGUGCGGGGCCACAAGUUGUUUCUUAUAUCCUAUAUAUCCUAAUAAAGAAUACAACUGCCAAGAAGACAUUUGAGGGAGAAAAUAAACAUUGACUCUUUGUAUCAUAGUUAUACUGCUUCAUCUCAAAUCCUAACAAGUUAUUAAUGUUUGUAUUUUUAGUAAACGUAACUAGAUGAAAACUACUAAAGUGGGCAAAUAAGAAAUGUUAGUUUAAAAAAAAUAGAAUGGAAGAAGAUGUUUGAAAACUAUAGCAUUUAUUAAAUAGUAAAUAUUAAAAUACAAAGUUUGAAAAUAUAGUCUAUAUGAUUAAAGAAAAAUAAUAAAGCACUAUCAAGAUACUAUCUCUUUUUUCACCCUGUUUGUUAAAUGUAUUAUAAAAAUGUGAAGUCA